rnacentral:lncRNA from 1 species
GAAUUUCAAAAUGCUUUCAAAUUGCUAUGAACAUGGUUUUUUAAGAAUAUUUAUAUGCACGGAAUUAUUUAAAGAGCAUGACCCAAAGGAUGAUGGCGACAACUGCUACGUAGAAAUGAUGAGCCUGUUCGCUUCAGCUUAUAAGCCGGCUGAAAAGCUGAAACGACUGAUUUGUUGUGAGAGGAAAACACUGUUUGGUGGCUGAUAAGCCGGCUGAAUAAGCUGAAGCGAACAGGCCGGAUAACUUGCCCAAGGCUAAAUAUGUCAGACUCUAUACAUGAGUUUGAUCAAUGCUUAAUUGGAAAUUCACCUUUACCAUUAUC